rnacentral:tRNA from 1 species
GUCAUCGACCUUAUAGCUCAAUGGUAGAGCUCCGGCCUGGCAAGCCAUAGGCCAGUGGUUCGAACUUCGUCCGGGACA